GCCUUGCGAGAUGAUGACAUGAUCGUGUAUCUUUCUCGCUGGUUUUGGCCCUGACUAUGAUCAUUUCGUCACCUCAAUGACUACUAAGAGUGAAGCCCUCACACUUGAUGAUGUGUUUGCACAUCUAAUGGCAUUUGAAG